rnacentral:rRNA from 1 species
GACGAACGCUGGCGGCGUGCUUAACACAUGCAAGUCGAACGCUGAAGGCCUGGCUUUUGUUGGGUUGGAUGAGUGGCGAACGGGUGAGUAACACGUGAGUAACCUGCCCUCUUCUUUGGGAUAACGCCCGGAAACGGGUGCUAAUACUGGAUAUUCACUGAUCUUCGCAUGGGGGUUGGUGGAAAGGUUUGUUCUGGUGGGGGAUGGGCUCGCGGCCUAUCAGCUUGUUGGUGGGGUGAUGGCCUACCAAGGCUUUGACGGGUAGCCGGCCUGAGAGGGUGACCGGUCACAUUGGGACUGAGAUACGGCCCAGACUCCUACGGGAGGCAGCAGUGGGGAAUAUUGCACAAUGGGCGAAAGCCUGAUGCAGCGACGCCGCGUGAGGGAUGGAGGCCUUCGGGUUGUAAACCUCUUUCGCGCAUGGUCAAGCCGCAACUGUGGGUUGUGGUGAGGGUAGUGGGUAAAGAAGCGCCGGCUAACUACGUG